CAGUCGCCGCGGUAAUACGAGGGGGGCAAGCGUUGUUCGGAAUUAUUGGGCGUAAAGGGUGCGUAGGCGGUUUGGUAAGUCUUAUGUGAAAUCUUCGGGCUCAACUCGAAGUCUGCAUGAGAAACUGCCGGGCUUGAGUAUGGGAGAGGUGAGUGGAAUUUCCGGUGUAGCGGUGAAAUGCGUAGAUAUCGGAAGGAACACCUGUGGCGAAAGCGGCUCACUGGACCAUAACUGACGCUGAGGCACGAAAGCUAGGGGAGCAAACAGGAUUAGAUACCCGCGUAGUCCCUGUCUCUUAUAC
rnacentral:rRNA from 1 species